GAAACUAAUCGUGCCCCCUUUGAUUUAGCUGAGGCUACUAAUAUGAUUUGGUCUCAUUAAAGAUCACAAAUUGCUGGAAACUCCUUUGAGGCUAGGACAAUCAGCAAGGAAGUUAACAUAUAAUGUUAAAACCUUCAGAGACUAGACGUGAUCAUUUAAUAGACGCCUUGCGGCUCUUAUUAGAUAAGGUAUAGUCCAAAUUUGUAUGUAAAUACAAAAUGAUAAAAAAAAUGAAAUCAUAUAUAAAUAUGAACUCUACCGUUACUACCUUAGGUGCGAACUAUUUAGUUCAUACAGGUUAUUUUAAUACUAUAUCUAGAUUAAAAGUUUGUACAAUAGCUAGUUAUAGAUAUUAUUCUACUUCAAAAUCAGAUUCACAAUCAUCCGAUUUACCUCCUGUUCCUAUUUUUACUAUUAAUAAUCUAAAUAAUAAAGACUCUAUUAAAUCUUCUAGAAUAUUAUUAAAAGACAAAGGAGGUAUUUAUUCUUUUAUUAAUACAGUCAAUAAUAAUCAAUAUAUCGGAAGUGCCAAGGAUUUUUAUUUAAGACUUAAUGAACAUUUGGAAAAUAAGAAGUCUAAUAUUGCUUUACAAAAAGCAUUUACUAAGUAUGGCUUAGAUAAAUUUAUAUUUUGUAUAUAUGAAUAUUUCACAUACGAAAGCAAAAUUAUAAGUCAUAAAGCUUUAACUGAUCUAGAGACUAGUUAUAUUAACAGAUUUAAUUUUGAUAAUCUUUACAAUUUUAAAGCUAUAGCUACAAGCUCUUUAGGUUAUAAACAUACAGAAGAAGCAAGAUUAAAGAUGGUUGAUUAUUAUAAGGAUAAAAAUAAUCAUCCUAUGUUUGGUAAAACUCAUACUGAAGAAGCACUAGGUUUAAUUAGUAAACCAGGUGAAUUAAAUCCUAUGUUUGGUAAAAAACAUAGUGAAGCUACUAAGGCGUCUAUGAGUGAAAAAAAGAAUAAAUAUCCUUUAGGUGUAGGUAUUUAUGAUUUAGAGGACAAUUUAAUUUUAAAGUUUAGUAAUAAUGUAGAGCUAGCUAAAUAUUUAGGUAUUUCUAAGGUUACAGUAGGUAAGUAUUUAAAUUCGGGUCUUGUAUAUAAUAAAACUUAUCGGUUUAAACCUAUACAAGAUUAGAUAUGGUUGUUUUAUUUUUUGGAAUCAGAAUUAGUUAGUGGUUUUAU
rnacentral:ncRNA from 1 species